CCCUGGUUAGCUCAGUCGAUAGAGCGCUCCACUGGAAAUGGAGAAGUCCCUGGUUCGAUACCAGGACCAGGCG
rnacentral:tRNA from 2 species